CCUUUUUAUAAUAAACUCCGAUCUCCCGUUCAAUCGGACACUAUAUAUUGCAAACGAUAUAUAUAGCAUCUCGACCUCCCCCCCUUUCUAGGAAUUUCCUUUUUUAAAACUGACGCACGCCGAAAAUGGCGUUUGACUUUUCUUGAAUCUCAGAAGUUUAUAAAAUUGCCUCUACCUCCCUUUGACAAAAUCAAUGUUUAGGCCCCUGAAACUUUUUUAACGCUAUGUGAUUGUAAAACCCCUGUAUGACGUCAUGGAAAACAUUCUGUUCAAGAGUACAAAUAAAUGUAUUCAUAUAAUAAAACCGGUUUUAGUGCACAAUGUUCUGUCCACGGAGAGAGACUAGAGUGCACACGGAGCCUGGAGGUCGGAGACUCAUUCGUCCACAAGGCACUGUGAGAAGAAAAAUGGGUGCACUGCCUUGCCUUGUAUCACAGUAUAGACCUGAACUGGGAACUCUUGUAUUGAUCUUCAUCUUUUGUUAAUCUGUAGAUUAAUUUAAUCCUGCAUGGUAACUGUACCCAGUCAGGGUUGAAGGGAGUUUUGAUCAGGAGAGGAAUAACUGAAAAUAUCCUCAAAUUAACAGUGCCCACAAUAGAUCUCGAGAUCAAUCGAUCUAGGUUAUUAGUAUCAAACAAAACAGUUCUCAGCCCUGAUCAGAGUAAUCCAAGAUAGAUUCACCGGACGACUGAGGAACUCCCAAAAUCAUGAUGUAAUCACAAGGAUGGCGUCCAAAAAAACAACAGGUUGGGAGAAUCGAAUCUUGAUUCUAAAAGUCUUGUGUAGAAGAGGGUGUGUGGCCUAAUGGAUAAGGCACCAGACUUCGGAUCUGGGGAUUGCAGGUUCGAGUCCUGUCACGCUCGUACACUAUUUUUGUGGUU